rnacentral:lncRNA from 1 species
CGUUAUCUCCGUCCCGUCACUGAGCGGAAGAGGGAGAAGAAAGGAAACGAAGAAGAGAUGAGAAAAUAGGCGGGAAAAUCGAGAGUGGCGAGAAUCCUGCCUCCCCCACCAACACGAAAAUUAAUUAACGGUACUCUUCGAUGUUGUGGAAUUCGAUGAAAUUUGUUGUUCAUGGUUUUUGUUUGAAUAAGGCUUCUGGUUCACGACUAUGUAUCGAUUAAUUUGAUUUCCCAUGAAGAGAAUUUGACUAUCCGUAUAGCUGAUGAUAGUGCCAUGAUUUCAUUUGAGCUCAACAUCUACUUGUUUCUUUUUAGGUUGAUUUGGUUUCUGUCCGUGUGAUGUGUUUUGUGUUAGGGAUUUUGAUUUGAUUGUGUGUGGGUUGUUUGUUUGAGAUGAAAUGUGUUGUUGUUUUUCUUCUCUCUUCAGUUAUGGUGAAGAUCAAGUAGAGGGAUUUACGAUCUUACAUGACAACAUCUUUGGGCUAUGUAUGAUAACUGUGCUAUGUGUAAUCUGGACUCAGCCAGACUGAUCUUAAAGCAUACAUAUGUCAUGAACCCAUGUUGGAUCAUUUGGCAAAGGUGAU